rnacentral:pre_miRNA from 1 species
CCGUAUUUUAAAAUGGUUCACGUUCCCUUUUAUUCGUUUUUUUGUACCAUUUAAAGUUUGGGUUUCUUGUCUUUAGUCGUUCAAAAAGUUUUUAUUUUUACAUUUAAAUCAACGUUCGCAUCUCACACUUUCAUUUUUACGUCGCAUAGUCUUUUUUUUUAAUCGUAACGAUCACGUCAAAAAAAGAGAAGGCCUGAUCGCAUUUUAAAAGGCGU